GUUGACCUCGGAUCAGGUAGGGAUACCCGCUGAACUUAAGCAUAUCAAUAAGCGGAGGAAAAGAAACCAACAGGGAUUGCCCC
rnacentral:rRNA from 1 species